rnacentral:rRNA from 1 species
UACAGAGGGUGCAAGCGUUGUUCGGAAUUAUUGGGCGUAAAGGGCGCGUAGGCGGUGCGGUAAGUCUGCGGUGAAAUCUCCCGGCUCAACUGGGAGUCUGCCGUGGAAACUGCCGUGCUUGAGUGUGGGAGAGGUGAGUGGAAUUCCCAGUGUAGCGGUGAAAUGCGUAGAUAUUGGGAGGAACACCAGUGGCGAAGGCGGCUCACUGGACCGGAACUGACGCUGAGGCGCGAAAGCCAGGGGAGCAAAGCGGG